CGCGCAUUUCAUUGUCAACCAGAUAUUAUACAGAAAAUGGAAUAGAAUAAGAAUAAGGUCCCAUAAAUCAUGGAUGGUUCUUCGAUACCAAGGACAUUUUGGAGUGGAGCUCGCGGUUUCUUUUUAGGUAAAGGCAAGAG
ensembl:ncRNA C18A3.21 ncRNA